rnacentral:rRNA from 1 species
CCCUGUAUUGUCCGCGGAAGGACAUUU